AUGGCCCAUUUGUUUCACGUGGUUUGCACAGCUGAUCCCCCUUCGAUCCCCGUCGACCCCCUCCUAUCCACGUGGUUCUCAGCCCUCGAGGGGGGACUCAAGGAUUUGGAGGAAACGAAGCCGCCCCCACCCGCCGCUCACUCAACGCUCUGCCGCCCGACUCCUCCUCAAGACGCUGCCGCCCGCCGCCUCGACGCCGGUGUACCCCUCCGGCAUACUGGACGUCUCCCCGGCGGUAAGUCCUCGCCUGCCCUCGCCUCGCCUCCCCUCCUUUUCCCUCGUCGUCUAGGUUUCUUCCAUCGGCCCGGCCACUGCUGCCGCCUUGUCCUCCCUGGCGAGCUCGCCAAGCACGCCGUCUCCGAGGGAAACAAAGCCGUCACCAUCACCAAGUUCACUUUAGUCUGGUUCGGUCUGUUCGUGAUGCUUUUAGUGAUGGAAGUUGCUGAAUGA
rnacentral:rRNA from 1 species